rnacentral:rRNA from 1 species
UACGUAGGGUGCAAGCGUUGUCCGGAAUUAUUGGGCGUAAAGAGCUCGGUAGGCGGCUUGUCGCGUCGGACUGUGAAAACCUCGGGGCUCAACCCCGGGCCUGCAGCCGAUACGGGCAAGCUAGAAUCGGUAGGGGAGACGUGGAAUUCCUGGUGUAGCGGUGAAAUGACGCAGAUAUGCGGAGGAACACCGAUGGCGAAGGCUAAUC